GAAUUGACGGGGGCCCGCACAAGCGGAGGAGCAUGUGGUUUAAUUCGAUGGUACGCGAGGAACCUUACCUGGGUUAGAACGUAUGAUAGAUGUAGCUGAAAGGUUACAGACCUGCGAGGGAUAUCAUACGAGGUGCUGCAUGGUUGUCGUCAGCUCGUGCCGUGAGGUGUUUGGUUAAGUCCAGCAACGAGCGCAACCCCUACCUUUAGUUGCCAGCAGGUAAAGCUGGGGACACUAGAGGGACUGCCUGCGCAAGCAGAGAGGAAGGUGGGGAUGACGUCAAAUCAGCACGGCCCUUAUGUCCAGGGCUACACACGUGCUACAAUGGUAACUACAGAAGGCAGCGACUAGGCGACUAGGAGCGAAUCUCGAAAAGUUAUCUCAGUUCGGAUUGGAGUCUGCAACUCGACUCCAUGAAGGUGGAUUCGCUAGUAAUCGCGCAUCAGCAAUGGCGCGGUGAAUACGUUCCCGGGCCUUGUACACACCG
rnacentral:rRNA from 1 species